UAAAUAAGUUUCUUUGAUCUUUCCUUUGUCAUCACUGAUAGGAUCUAUGUUUUGUAUGUGGUGCCUAUCUUCUAUCCUGUAUCCCUUGGAGAGUAUCCUUAAGGAUGAGAAAAGAUGAGAGAUGGGGUAUUUUAGAUUUUUUUAAGAUGCUGUUGAUGACAACAUAUAUGUAAGUUAGAAAAUGCUUCAGGCGUAGAUCCGUCCUAUUGUUAGUUUGUUAUUAAGAAACUAACACCAAUCAGAGAAUACUCUGAAAAUUUUCUACAAACAUGCUUUGAACUUGACAAGAGGGACUAAGGGUGAUCAAUGGGCCUUCCAAAUGGCUACUAGUUUGUGGCGGCCAACUCAAUAUUGAAAGAUUUGUAGGGACUAAUAUGUAGAAAAUGCUAAAAGUAAUUACUGUUGGCAUUUGUCUUGCAGGAUGCGUAAGGGCUCUUGGCUUCUACCUUUGGCGCUGAUUCCCUUCGUGGGUCCGACAUUGUAUCUUCUACUUCGUCCGCCUCUUUCUGCUCUCCCCAUGAGAACUCCUUCCGAGUACAACAGAUAAGCUGUAGGCCAACCCAUUAUUUUGGUGCGUAACCAUCACUUUUGGUUUUGGUGUGUAGAGAAGACUCAGGCUGGUUGGUCAAGAAAUAAUCCUUUCAGAUAAAGGCCUAAGGCUCUGCCAUGCCACUGUAAAAAAACAGCAGCUUAUGAUUUACCUUCUGAAGUUUCAGCUAAAUGAUUCAACUUUAGCUUAUUAACCACAAAGUGUAGCACCACAUAUUAAUUUACAGAGCCGCUGAAGAGGAAGGAGCUUCAUUCAUCCAGUAAAAUUUGGAGAGUACUUCCUAUUUGCAUAGCAUGUUCUGAUAUUAAUACAGCUGUGUCUCUUGCAGUCCCCAGUAAAAUUGAAGAUCUAAGAUCACAUCGAGGAUCUUUAUUAGCAGCAGCAAAUGAGGAAAUGCACCUGCUACUUGAUGCGAAGACCUGCUUCCGUCGGUCAUGCCAUGUAGAAUCUGAAUUGCGCCCUGUAGGGGCGAGAGCUUUACUGUUUGGCAGAGGAUGGUGGUCGCCAACCUCCCGGCAGGUGAAGAGAGAGAGGUCUCCCAGUCUGCGUCACCCGAAGAGUAAUACUUCUCCAACUCGAAAUUCGUCAACAUUCACAUCAUCUACAGUAAAAUUCCAUGUGUUUAGUUACAGUUAAUCGCCGAAUUAUAAAGAGCAUUAGAUAGCCGUAUGGUCUCGGUAGGGUUUAUUCUAUGCCUUUGAAAACAACCCUGUUAAUUGACUAAAAUCACUGAAUUCCAAAGAAAAUUGAUAAGGGCCUAGGAGCACCCUGGAAAUUUUUUUUUCCUGUUUGAAAAAGGUGGCUAUUUUGUUUUUUAAACCAUCAGAAUUACACAAUAGUCAACCGAAAGAGUUUGAAAUACAAUAAAUUGUCUGGAACGUGCACAGACCUGCCACGUA